rnacentral:lncRNA from 1 species
ACUCCUCAUUUUGUGAUUACGUCGUUUCUUUGGACAAUAUUGAGCAGUCUGCUUUGGUUCUCCACAAUAUAAACAUAAUCGUUCUUGACGACGAUGAAUCUUUUCUUGCUCAAUAAGAGGUUUGAAACGUACUACAUCAAUUUGCAUAUCCUCUACUUUUGAAUGUAUGUGUUGAAGAGAUGUUGGUGUUGCCAUUGAAUUAUAGUAACGUUGAGGUCGGUUCUCAGAUCAAAAUUCAAAAAGAUGAUUG